rnacentral:lncRNA from 1 species
UGCCCCAGAGGAUAUCGAGAUGUGAGCUGGUCGACACAAUUCGGGAGCAGGCAUAUCGAAUUGGAUCGAGAUCCAGUGCGUCAUCAAGUCGCUCUGGGAAGGAGUUCGCAGCUCGCGUACGUGCUCUACAGGAUCAGCCUAAUCUCUCUGUCGCCGCUGUUGUUGGCUUGCAAUAGACCAGACUAUUUCCAGAGGUCAGUUCAUCUAUCUAUCCUCAAGUAGGCCUUGUAUCCAUUCCUCUGCUUUUCAUGCAGCUUCAGUUUGUACACUUAGUAGAACACACUUCCUGACCAAAUGAUGGACAAUAACUCUUCCAGGUACCACAAAGUGGUUGAUUCAAAGUUCGCACU